rnacentral:rRNA from 1 species
UUAAGCGACUAAGCGUACACGGUGGAUGCCCUGGCAGUCAGAGGCGAUGAAGGACGUGCUAAUCUGCGAAAAGCGUCGGUAAGGUGAUAUGAACCGUUAUAACCGGCGAUGUCCGAAUGGGGAAACCCAGUGUGAUUCGUCACACUAUCGUUAACUGAAUACAUAGGUUAACGAGGCGAACCGGGGGAACUGAAACAUCUAAGUACCCCGAGGAAAAGAAAUCAACCGAGAUUCCCCCAGUAGCGGCGAGCGAACGGGGAGCAGCCCAGAGUCUGAAUCAGCUUGUGUGUUAGUGGAACGGUCUGGAAAGUCCGACGGUACAGGGUGAUAGUCCCGUACACCAAAAUGCACAGGCUGUGAACUCGAAGAGUAGGGCGGGACACGUGGUAUCCUGUCUGAAUAUGGGGGGACCAUCCUCCAAGGCUAAAUACUCCUGACUGACCGAUAGUGAACCAGUACCGUGAGGGAAAGGCGAAAAGAACCCCGGCGAGGGGAGUGAAAAAGAACCUGAAACCGUGUACGUACAAGCAGUGGGAGCACCUUCGGGUGUGACUGCGUACCUUUUGUAUAAUGGGUCAGCGACUUAUAUUCUGUAGCAAGGUUAACCGUAUAGGGGAGCCGCAGGGAAACCGAGUCUUAACUGGGCGUUAAGUUGCAGGGUAUAGACCCGAAACCCGGUGAUCUAGCCAUGGGCAGGUUGAAGGUUGGGUAACACUAACUGGAGGACCGAACCGACUAAUGUUGAAAAAUUAGCGGAUGACUUGUGGCUGGGGGUGAAAGGCCAAUCAAACCGGGAGAUAGCUGGUUCUCCCCGAAAGCUAUUUAGGUAGCGCCUCGUGAACUCAUCUUCGGGGGUAGAGCACUGUUUCGGCUAGGGGGUCAUCCCGACUUACCAACCCGAUGCAAACUACGAAUACCGAAGAAUGUUAUCACGGGAGACACACGGCGGGUGCUAACGUCCGUCGUGAAGAGGGAAACAACCCAGACCGCCAGCUAAGGUCCCAAAGUCAUGGUUAAGUGGGAAACGAUGUGGGAAGGCACAGACAGCCAGGAUGUUGGCUUAGAAGCAGCCAUCAUUUAAAGAAAGCGUAAUAGCUCACUGGUCGAGUCGGCCUGCGCGGAAGAUGUAACGGGGCUAAACCAUGCACCGAAGCUGCGGCAGCGACACUAUGUGUUGUUGGGUAGGGGAGCGUUCUGUAAGCCUGCGAAGGUGACCUGUGAGGGUUGCUGGAGGUAUCAGAAGUGCGAAUGCUGACAUAAGUAACGAUAAAGCGGGUGAAAAGCCCGCUCGCCGGAAGACCAAGGGUUCCUGUCCAACGUUAAUCGGGGCAGGGUGAGUCGACCCCUAAGGCGAGGCCGAAAGGCGUAGUCGAUGGGAAACAGGUUAAUAUUCCUGUACUUGGUGUUACUGCGAAGGGGGGACGGAGAAGGCUAUGUUAGCCGGGCGACGGUUGUCCCGGUUUAAGCAUGUAGGCUGGUUGUCCAGGCAAAUCCGGAUAAUCAAGGCUGAGGUGUGAUGACGAGGCACUACGGUGCUGAAGUAACAAAUGCCCUGCUUCCAGGAAAAGCCUCUAAGCAUCAGGUAACAUCAAAUCGUACCCCAAACCGACACAGGUGGUCAGGUAGAGAAUACCAAGGCGCUUGAGAGAACUCGGGUGAAGGAACUAGGCAAAAUGGUGCCGUAACUUCGGGAGAAGGCACGCUGGUGUGUAGGUGAAGUCCCUGCGGAUGGAGCUGAGACCAGUCGAAGAUACCAGCUGGCUGCAACUGUUUAUUAAAAACACAGCACUGUGCAAACACGAAAGUGGACGUAUACGGUGUGACGCCUGCCCGGUGCCGGAAGGUUAAUUGAUGGGGUUAUCCGUAAGGAGAAGCUCUUGAUCGAAGCCCCGGUAAACGGCGGCCGUAACUAUAACGGUCCUAAGGUAGCGAAAUUCCUUGUCGGGUAAGUUCCGACCUGCACGAAUGGCGUAAUGAUGGCCAGGCUGUCUCCACCCGAGACUCAGUGAAAUUGAACUCGCUGUGAAGAUGCAGUGUACCCGCGGCAAGACGGAAAGACCCCGUGAACCUUUACUAUAGCUUGACACUGAACAUUGAGCCUUGAUGUGUAGGAUAGGUGGGAGGCUUUGAAGCGUGGACGCCAGUCUGCGUGGAGCCAACCUUGAAAUACCACCCUUUAAUGUUUGAUGUUCUAACGUUGGCCCCUGACCGGGGUUGCGGACAGUGUCUGGUGGGUAGUUUGACUGGGGCGGUCUCCUCCCAAAGCGUAACGGAGGAGCACGAAGGUUAGCUAAUCCUGGUCGGACAUCAGGAGGUUAGUGCAAUGGCAUAAGCUAGCUUGACUGCGAGCGUGACGGCGCGAGCAGGUGCGAAAGCAGGUCAUAGUGAUCCGGUGGUUCUGAAUGGAAGGGCCAUCGCUCAACGGAUAAAAGGUACUCCGGGGAUAACAGGCUGAUACCGCCCAAGAGUUCAUAUCGACGGCGGUGUUUGGCACCUCGAUGUCGGCUCAUCACAUCCUGGGGCUGAAGUAGGUCCCAAGGGUAUGGCUGUUCGCCAUUUAAAGUGGUACGCGAGCUGGGUUUAGAACGUCGUGAGACAGUUCGGUCCCUAUCUGCCGUGGGCGCUGGAGAAUUGAGGGGGGCUGCUCCUAGUACGAGAGGACCGGAGUGGACGCAUCACUGGUGUUCGGGUUGUCAUGCCAAUGGCACUGCCCGGUAGCUAAAUGCGGAAGAGAUAAGUGCUGAAAGCAUCUAAGCACGAAACUUGCCCCGAGAUGAGUUCUCCCUGAGACUUUAAGUCUCCUGAAGGAACGUUGAAGACGACGACGUUGAUAGGCCGGGUGUGUAAGCGCAGCGAUGCGUUGAGCUAACCGGUACUAAUGAACCGUGAGGCUUAACCUU